GGGGGGACAAGGAGCAAAAAGGAAAAGAAAGAUCAGUCCUUCACAUCAAAGGAAUCGUUCUUGUGGCUCAUCUCCCUUUUUUUUUCCAACUAAUUUGAAAUUAUAUAGGUGUUUUAAAAUGUAAAAAAUUAUAAAAAUGAAUCAUUAAUGUGUAAAUAUGAAAUUACUUGCAUGAGAAUAUGUAGGUUGCUCAUUGGGAUUUUGACUGUAAUUAACUACGUGCUUGAUGCAAGAGAGAGUACUAAAAAGAGGACCAUAUAGAUCUUUGGUUACAUUGUUGUUCGACAACAAAGUAUGUUUUUUAAGGAAGCAGGUAGUCUUGGGGAGCAUUUUGGGAUAUAUUCUCUUGCUUUCUCAGCUAAACAAGAGAUCGCAUGAGGAGAGGAUACAAAAGAAGUUGACGUUCUAGGGUUUUGUGGAAACUUUGCUGCCAAAUAUAGAAACUCUUGAACUAGUUUGAGUCUGUGGUGAAAGAUGAGAAACAUGGGGAGUAAUAUUCGCAGCAGCGGAAGGCUAUCGACAGAAGAGAUCAAUGAGGAAGAGGAAAUUCCAAGACUGGACAUAUCUAAGUUUCAAGCAGGAGAAGAAGAGACUGAUUUUUUGAUGUAUGACUGAUCCUUUUGAGGAUAGAUGUUGCGAUUGUACUUAAGAAGAAUAUUGUACAUGGCAAAUAGAGAGUUGAAACGGCCUCUAGGUCAGAGCUGCCAAAAGAAGGUGUAACAGAUGCUCCUAUUCCUAUUUUGUGCAAGUUUUCUUCUUCCUAAAUAAGAUAAUUCUGAUUGUCUACAGGAGAAAGAAUACAAGGAAGCCCUGGAAUCUUUCAAUGAAAAGAACAAGGAAAAAGCUCGGCUAGGCACAACUUUCUCUGAUUCUUCUUCAUUUUUUGAUCUUUUUCUUGGCAGCUGCUGACUGAGAGUGAAAGACAAAGGAUGAUGAAGCUGGAAGAACUGAACAAGAUUAUCUCUGCCUUCUAUGAUCUCACUGCGAGAUAUUGUAUUCAUUACGUACUGAUUUUUCCAUAAAAAACUUAUUUUUUUCUGUGCUUCGUUCAA